CCAUAACUUCCUACCUUAUCUGGUCAGCCCAUAACUCCCUCCUCUCUCAAACCCUAUAUCGUCUUCCCUCUCUCAUCUGUAAAAGUGUGAAUAGAAUAACAACCAUGGAUGGGAACUCAAAGGUCGUCGAAGUCCGGCCUCCCUGGUUACUCCAUCGACGAAUCCUUGACUCCAAUCUCCCAAAAUACAGUUAGUUGAUUCCUUGCUCUUAUUCAAAUGAAUCACAAAUUCUUACUCUAUUCACACUUUUACAGACUGUUUACUUGUUUUUUAUUGCUUUUAAAUUUUUAUGGUGUUUUUGUCGAUUUUCUCAUAAUCUAGGGUUCCCUUAUCCUGUCGCAUUGCACGUGAAUCCUCCUCUUCAUCGAUCUAAUUAAUCCAAGUCGUUCAUCCUUAUUGUACCUAGCUCUCUAGGUUUCUCUAGGUGAGUUAUAUGCUAUCAUUACAAGCUAAUUUUCCAAGUGAUAUCGGUGGGCAGGCUAGGAACCCACUACAAACAUAUUAGUGCUGCUGUAGAGAAAGUAAAAGGAUAAGUGAGUUUGACAUGGCCCCAUCAACUAUAAUGAUUGCUGCGGCUCCUACCAUUGGAGCAUUGGUGGAGUGUUGAUCCGGGUUGGUGGAUCAAGUAGAGGAAUCACAUCUGGGGUACUUUAUCCGGGUUAUUCAAACUUUGUGGAAUUCACGCUACAAAGAUAUCAUGUCUAAUAACAACAACAAACUCCGGUUUCAACACUUGUCCUUUUCUGGAAAAGGACAGAUUGAAUGGUGAAAAUUUCCUUAAUUGGGAAAGGACCUUAAGACUCGUCCUGAGGUUUGAGGGUCGAGAAGACAUCUUAGAUACCCCCACUUCCUGUUGUAACUGAUGAAUCAACUGAGGCAGAAAAACGUUGUGCCAAACAGGCUAGUGAUAAGUCUAUACCAAUCACUUUCUUGAUGGUAGCAGCCAUGGAGCCGAACCUCAAAAAGAGGUUCAAAACCAAGGAUGCUUACACGAUCAUGCAAGAGUCGCAAGCCAUGUUUAAAACUCAGGCCCGAGUUAAGCGGUAUGAGACCAAUAGGGAGAUACUUGAAUGUCACUUGAAGCCGGGUUAAGUUGUUGGCCCCUAUGUCCUCGAAAUGAUGGGUCUUUUUGAAAACAUGGAACGACUUGCAUUCCAUUAUAUGGUUGAGUUGGCUAGUGACAUUAUUCUCCACUCACUGUCUGACAGUUUCAAUUAGUUCAGAAUUACCUACAAUAUGAAUGAGUCUGAAAAGACUUUGCAAGAGCUGCGUGGAUUGUUGGUCAAUGCUGUAAGGAACAUCCCUAUGGUUGAACCAAAGAAAGAGGUUCUAAUGGUUCAAAAGGGAAAGGGUUCAAAAAAAAUGGGCAGGAAAGAAGGACAAAGGCAAGCAAGUUGCCUCUGUUGCUGAAAAACCUAAGCCAACCGCCAAGCCAAAGGUCGCUGCAGAAAGCAAGUGCUUCCACUGUCACAAGAUAGGACAUUGGAAGAGGAACUGCUCGAUAUACUUGGAGGAAAAGAAGUCUAGGGUUUCAACUUCAGGGACUAAACAGAAGUAGAAAGCUGGCAAAAGGCGAGGUAGAGCUACGCGUUGGAAAUGGAGUACGAGUUGCUGCACCUUGCCAUAGGGAGCUAUAGUCCACACUUGCAUCUGGGCUUAUUUUAGAAUUAAAUAAUUGUUAUUUUGUUCCUGCAAUAACUAAGAACAUAAUUUCAGUUUUAGUUUUGGAUUCUGAAUGGUUUUGUUUUGAAAUAAAGUACAAGUGUUGUUCCAUUUCUUACAAUAAUAUGUUCUAUGCCAAAGCUAAAUUGAUGGCUUAUAUGUGCUUAAUAAGUCAUUACCAGUCUAUAACAUAGAUAGCAAGAAACAAAAAUCAAAUGAUUCCAACCUAACCUACAUUUGGCAUUGUCGAAUGGGUCUCGACUUGAUGUUGCAUGUCUUGAGCAUGUGUAGCAGGUUCCAAGCAAAUACAGGAGAAGCACACUGGACUGCAGCUAAGAGCAUCCUUAAGUACUUAAGGAGGACUAUAGGCAUGUUCUUAGUAUAUGGUGGAUAAAGUGAGUUGGUUGUUGAAGGUUACACGGAUGCAAGCUUCCAAACCGGCUGAGAUGAUUACCGCUCUCCGUCAGGGUAUGUCUUUCGUCUAAAUGGAGGAGCAGUGAGCUGGAAGAGCUCAAAGCAAAGCAUUGUAGCAGACUCUAUGACAAAAUCAGAAUAUUUAGCAGCACUUGAAGGUUGAAGCAGCUAAGGAAGCAGUUUGCAUAAAGAAGUUCUUGACAGAGCUAGAUAUUGUACCUAGCGCUCUGGAAGGAACUGAGUUGUUUUGUGACAACAAUAGUGCUAUUGCGCAAGCAAAAGAACCAAGGUCACAUAACAAGUCCAAACAUGUGAUGAGGAAAUUUCACCUUAUUCGAGAGAUAGUUGACAGGAAGGAUGUCAAAAUAUGCAAAGUUCAUACGGAUGAGAACGUGGUUGAUCCGCUAACUAAACCACUACCUCAACCCAAGCAUGAGUGUCACGCUAGUGCUAUAGGCUUGAAGCAAAUGUUAGAGUGGCUUUAGAUUGUACUAGGUUUAAAGAAACUUGUUACAAUGUAAAGACAUGGUUUUGCUAUUUAUGUUUAUGAGAAUAAAUUUUAUCUUAUUUAA